AUUGAACGCUGGCGGCAUGCCUUACACAUGCAAGUCGAACGGUAACAGGUCUUCGGAUGCUGACGAGUGGCGAACGGGUGAGUAAUACAUCGGAACGUGGCCGAUCGUGGGGGAUAACGCAGCGAAAGCUGUGCUAAUACCGCAUACGAUCUACGGAUGAAAGCGGGGGAUCGCAAGACCUCGCGCGGACGGAGCGGCCGAUGGCAGAUUAGGUAGUUGGUGGGAUAAAAGCUUACCAAGCCGACGAUCUGUAGCUGGUCUGAGAGGACGACCAGCCACACUGGGACUGAGACACGGCCCAGACUCCUACGGGAGGCAGCAGUGGGGAAUUUUGGACAAUGGGCGCAAGCCUGAUCCAGCCAUGCCGCGUGCAGGAUGAAGGCCUUCGGGUUGUAAACUGCUUUUGUACGGAACGAAAAAGCUCUCUCUAAUACAGGGGGUGAAUGACGGUACCGUAAGAAUAAGCACCGGCUAACUACGUG
rnacentral:rRNA from 1 species